rnacentral:rRNA from 1 species
AUUGAACGCUGGCGGAAUGCCUUACACAUGCAAGUCGAGCGGCAGCGCGGGGCAACCUGGCGGCGAGCGGCGAACGGGUGAGUAAUGUAUCGGAACGUGUCCUGUCGUGGGGGAUAGCCCGGUGAAAACCGGAUUAAUACCGCAUACGAUCGAGAGAGGAGAGGGGGGGCCCGCAAGGCCUCACGCGAUAGGAUCGGCGGCUAUAUGGUUAGCUAGUUGGUGGGGUAAAGGCCCACCAAGGCUUCGAUCAGUAGCUGGUCUGAGAGGAUGAGCAGCCACACUGGGACUGAGACACGGCCCAGACUCCUACGGGAGGCAGCAGUGGGGAAUUUUGGACAAUGGGGGCAACCCUGAUCCAGCCAUUCCGCGUGAGUGAAGAAGGCCUUCGGGUUGUAAAGCUCUUUUGUCCGGGAAGAAACGGUUUUGGCUAAUAACCAAGACUACUGACGGUACCGGAAGAAUAAGGACCGGCUAACUACGUGCCAGCAGCCGCCGUAA